GCCUCUGUAGCUCAGUUGGUUAGAGCGCUGUACCGGAAUCGCAGGGUCGCAGGUUCGACUCCUGCCUCCUCGGGCC